rnacentral:rRNA from 1 species
AUCCUGGCUCAGAUUGAACGCUGGCGGCAGGCCUAACACAUGCAAGUCGAACGGCAGCACGGGAGCAAUCCUGGUGGCGAGUGGCGAACGGGUGAGUAAUAUAUCGGAACGUGCCCGGUCGUGGGGAUAACGUAGCGAAAGCUACGCUAAUACCGCAUACGAUCUACGGAUGAAAGCGGGGGAUCGCAAGACCUCGCGCGAUUGGAGCGGCCGAUAUCAGAUUAGGUAGUUGGUGGGUAAAGGCUCACCAAGCCAACGAUCUGUAGCUGGUCUGAGAGGACGACCAGCCACACUGGAACUGAGACACGGUCCAGACUCCUACGGGAGGCAGCAGUGGGGAAUUUUGGACAAUGGACGCAAGUCUGAUCCAGCCAUUCCGCGUGCAGGAUGAAGGCCUUCGGGUUGUAAACUGCUUUGUACGGAACGAAACGGUGAGCUCUAAUACAGUUUGCUAAUGACGGUACCGUAAGAAUAAGCACCGGCUAACUACGUG